AACGCUAGCUACAGGCUUAACACAUGCAAGUCGAGGGGCAGCACUAGGUAGCAAUACUGAGGUGGCGACCGGCGCACGGGUGCGUAACGCGUAUCCAACCUUCCCGUUACUCUUGGAUAGCCUUCCGAAAGGGAGAUUAAUACAAGAUAGUAUUCAAAUUCCGCAUGUUAUUUGAAUUAAAGAUUUAUCGGUAACGGAUGGGGAUGCGUGACAUUAGAUAGUAGGCGGGGUAACGGCCCACCUAGUCUACGAUGUCUAGGGGUUCUGAGAGGAAGGUCCCCCACACUGGAACUGAGACACGGUCCAGACUCCUACGGGAGGCAGCAGUGAGGAAUAUUGGUCAAUGGACGAGAGUCUGAACCAGCCAAGUAGCGUGAAGGAAGACUGCCCUAUGGGUUGUAAACUUCUUUUGUUUGGGAAUAAAGUGCGGGACGUGUCCCGUUUUGUAUGUACCAUUCGAAUAAGCAUCGGCUAAUUCCGUGCCAGCAGCCGCGGUAAUACGGAAGAUGCGAGCGUUAUCCGGAUUUAUUGGGUUUAAAGGGAGCGUAGGCGGCCUGUUAAGUCAGCGGUUAAAUGUCAGUGCCCAACAUUGGCAUGCCGUUGAUACUGGUGGGCUUGAAUACACACAAGGAUGGUGGAAUUCGUUGUGUAGCGGUGAAAUGCUUAGAUAUGACGAAGAACUCCGAUUGCGAAGGCAGCCAUCUGGGGUGCGAUUGACGCUGAGGCUCGAAAGUGCGGGAAUCAAACAGGAUUAGAUACCCUGGUAGUCCGCACCGUAAACGAUGAAUGCUCGUUCUGGGCGAUAUACUGUCCGGGACUUAGGGAAACCAUUAAGCAUUCCACCUGGGGAGUACGCCGGCAACGGUGAAACUCAAAGGAAUUGACGGGGGCCCGCACAAGCGGAGGAACAUGCGGUUUAAUUCGAUGAUACGCGAGGAACCUUACCCGGGCUUGAACUGCGACUGACCGGCAUAGAGAUAUGCUUUCCCUUCGGGGCAGUUGUGGAGGUGCUGCAUGGUUGUCGUCAGCUCGUGCCGUGAGGUGUCGGCUUAAGUGC
rnacentral:rRNA from 1 species